rnacentral:lncRNA from 1 species
GGCAAGGAUGUAAAAGAUGUAAAAAAAUACUCCUCUUAAUCCCAAGUCAAAAGCAGGAGGCCCCUUUUCUGUGAAGAGGACGAGGAAAAACACCACAAAAGUUGGAUCUUCAAACUGCAAAAGAACUAUUUAUUGCGUGGCCAUAGCAAUGAGAGAAAAACAUGCAUACAUGCAAUCAAAGGAUUUGUCCGAAUUUCCAAAAUGGUUGCGAGGGUUUUAUCACCUCCACAGAAAUCAGCAAGCAUAUCCUUAUCGGCUUACAAAUAUCAUUUACCCCAUUUGUCUAAUGUUGUCUACGUCACAAGCAUCUUAACCAUCAUGCAAUCCCAUUGGUUUUCUAUGCUGUAACAACAUGUAAUUCUUUAGACAAUGGUGCUUUCAUGUUAUUGACCCUGACUUGUUGCAAGUAUAUGCUCGAAAUCGUAUGGGAACCGGUUCUGACUUGAUGUAUUGUUAUUACAGUAGAGUCUCACUUAUCCAAGCUAAACGGGCCGGCAGAAGCUUGGAUAAGCGAUUAUCUUGGAUAAUACGGAGGGAUUAAGGAAAAGCCUAUUAAACAUUAAAUUAGGUUAUGAUUUUACAAAUUAAGCACCAAAACAUCAUGUUAUACAACAAAUUUGACAGAAAAAGUAGUUCAAUACGCAGUAAUGCUAUGUUGUAAUUACUGUAUUUACGAAUUUAGCACCAAAAUAUCAUGAUAUAUUGAAAACACUGACUACAAAAAUGGCUGGUUAAUCCAGAGGCUUGGAUAAGUGUGGCUUGGAUAAGUGCAACUCUACUGUAUUUGAAAGUAACUUCUUUUCUCUGGAACAACUCUUUUCCCAAACAUUAGCAAUUUCUCUCAAGCGCAGGCCUUCCUCAAAUAUAGGCCUUUUGCAACUUAGGUCAAUCAAAACAUAUGGGACUUAUAGUCAUUACAAGUAUCUUUGAAAAUUCUUUUUAAACCCACGUCUCCCUCAUACAAACACCACCUAAACUAUCAGUGAAAUCACAAAAUAUGGAAUCGGUAAUGAGUAUUAACUCCUUUCCUCAGGCAAAAGGCAAAACAAACACAAAACAAAUACUAUUCCCCGCUCCUUUCAACCAAAGCACACAUCCCCAAGAAAACUACACAGAAAAGGUGGAAACAAAAUGGCUGCCAACCCUCUGCUUCACUUCUGUGAGGGAAGCUUAAAAGGACCAACACAAAAUGGCUGCCAAGCAGCAAACCCCCUUUUGGCGCCAAAACGCCUCUACAAGUCAAAUAGCAGCUGGGAGCUCUGACUUUUAACUUUCUCAAACCCCUAAACAGGGAGAAAGCCUAUAAUGGUUUUAAAAAGACGGACAGAUCUUUACACUUAGAAAACCUGCUCUUUUCUCUCCCUCACACGCACACACACACACACAGCAGGGAGAGAGCUCAAUAUCUCUCUUUCAAUGAGUAAUCCUAAAAUGGCAGCAGGGACAAGCAGGAUACUUAUAUUGAAGAGGCAAUGAUGUAAAAGAUGUAAAAAUACUCCUCUUAAUCCAAAGUCAAAAGCAGGAGGCCCCUUUUCUAUGGAGAGGGCGAGGAAAAACACCACAAAAGUUGGAUCUUCAAACUGCAAAAGAACUAUUUAUUGUGUGGCCAUAGCAAUGUGACAAAUACAUGCAUACAUGCAAUCAAAGGAUUUAAUAAUAAUAAUAAUAAUAAUAAUAAUAAUAAUAAUAAUAAUAAUAAGGCCUUUGACACUUAAUUUGUUGUCGGACUGAUCUAUCUGCCCAUUUUAUAAUAGCCCCAUUCUCAAGGUGUUGCCAAUGUUAUAUUGCAUUUUGUCCAUUUCUACUGUGAAACUACUUUCCCCAUUUCGCCCCGUUUCGGCACAUUCUGCUCUUUGUCUGGGUUCUAUGAAUUAGUCUCCUGUGUUAAUAUUGUAUAUUUAUGUCGAUUUUAACGAUUGUUUUUACUGUAAUUGAUGUUUUAUUGGAUAAUUGUUUUAUUGCUGUGUUUUGAUAUUUGAUUGUUUUAUCGGGCAAGGCCCCAUGUAAGCCGCCCCGAGUCCCUUCGGGGAGAUGGGGCGGGGUAUAAAAAUAAAGUUAUUAUUAUUAUUAUUAUUUUCUAUGCUGUAACAACAUGUAAUUCUUUAGACAAUGGUGCUUUCAUGUUAUUGACCCUGACUUGUUGCAAGUAUAUGCUCGAAAUCGUAUGGGAACUGGUUCUGACUUGAUGUAUUGUUAUUAUUUGAAAGUAACUUCUUUUCUCUGGAACAACUCUUUUCCCAAACAUCAGCAUUUUCUCUCAAGUGCAGGCCUUCCUCAAACAUAGGCCUUUUGCAACUUAGGUCAAUCAAAACAUAUGGGACUUAUAGUCAUUACAAGUAUCUCUGAAAAUUCUUUUUAAACCCACGUCUCCCUCAUACAAACACCACCUAAACCAGGGGUCCCCAAACUAAGGCCCGAGGGCCAGAUGCGGCCCUCCAAGGUCAUUUAUCUGGCCCCCACCCUCAGUUUUAUAAUACAUUUUUAUAUCAGUUUUAAUAAUAUAAUAUACUAGCUGUGCCCGGCCAUGCGUUGCUGUGGCAAAGUGGUGGUGGUAUUGGUUAAAAAUUGUUGUAAUAUUUAAUGCUAAUAUUGUGCUAUGCUAAUAAUCUAUAUAUAUAAAAGAGUGAUGGAAUCCUGGCGACCUACAAAACAACAAAACUAAACACCCCACAACCUCGAAAAUUGACAGCACAACCCCUCAUCCACGCCUCUAGGUUGAUACAACAAAAAGAAAAGAAAAAUAAAGUCCUAAUUAGAGGGAGAGGAAUAAUUGUUUUUAUCCAAUUGCUGCCAGUUAGAAGGCGUAAGCGUCUGCCCACUUGGUCUCCUAGCAACCGACUCAGCCCAGGGGACAGGC